UGUAUUUUUCAGCGUGAGUGCAUCUCUAUCCACGUUGGCCAAGCUGGAGUCCAGAUCGGUAAUGCCUGUUGGGAACUUUACUGCCUGGAACAUGGAAUCCAGCCCGAUGGUCAGAUGCCAUCUGACAAGACCAUCGGCGGUGGUGAUGACAGUUUCAACACCUUCUUCAGUGAGACUGGUGCCGGCAAACACGUUCCUAGGGCAGUCUUUGUUGACUUGGAGCCCACAGUAGUGGAUGAGGUACGAACUGGCACAUACAGACAGCUGUUCCACCCUGAACAGCUUAUUACUGGCAAGGAAGAUGCGGCAAACAACUACGCUCGAGGCCCACUACACCAUUGGAAAGGAAAUUGUCGAUUUAGUACUGGACAGGAUCAGGAAAGUUGGCCGACCAAUGCACAGGACUUCAGGGUUUCCUAAUCUUUCACUCUUUUGGUGGUGGCACUGGCUCAGGAUUCACAUCACUGCUCAUGGAAAGACUGUCUGUUGACUACGGAAAGAAGAGCAAGCUCGAAUUCGCCAUUUACCCUGCCCCUCAGGUAUCUACUGCUGUUGUUGAGCCUUACAACUCCAUUCUUACCACCCACACCACACUGGAACACUCUGACUGUGCCUUCAUGGUUGACAACGAAGCCAUCUACGACAUCUGCCGCCGUAAUCUGGACAUCGAACGCCCCACCUACACCAAUCUGAACCGUCUCAUUGGCCAGAUCGUAUCUUCCAUCACAGCUUCCCUGAGGUUUGACGGUGCCCUCAAUGUCGAUCUUACUGAAUUCCAAACCAACUUGGUGCCUUACCCUCGCAUUCACUUCCCUCUGGUGACCUACGCUCCCGUGAUUUCCGCCGAGAAGGCUUACCACGAGCAGCUUUCCGUCGCUGAGAUUACCAACGCGUGCUUCGAACCGGCCAACCAGAUGGUUAAGUGCGACCCCCGUCACGGCAAAUACAUGGCUUGCUGCAUGCUGUAUCGAGGUGAUGUGGUCCCUAAGGAUGUCAACGCUGCCAUCGCCACCAUCAAGACCAAGAGGACCAUCCAGUUCGUGGACUGGUGUCCUACUGGUUUCAAGGUCGGCAUCAACUACCAGCCUCCUACUGUUGUCCCUGGUGGUGAUCUGGCUAAAGUUCAGCGUGCCGUGUGCAUGUUGUCCAACACCACAGCAAUUGCUGAGGCAUGGGCUCGUCUUGACCAUAAAUUUGAUCUGAUGUAUGCCAAGCGAGCUUUCGUCCACUGGUACGUCGGAGAGGGUAUGGAGGAAGGAGAGUUCAGCGAGGCCCGUGAGGACUUGGCUGCUCUCGAGAAAGACUACGAAGAGGUCGGCAUGGACUCCGUUGAGGGAGAAGGCGAAGGUGCUGAAGAAUAUUAAGCUCUCCACACACUGUCAACAGAACUGCUCCACAUUUGUGCUCACAUCUUUUUCCAGUAUUUUUUCUAUAUUUUUAUACAAGUUUUUUUUACCAAAGUAUUCAGUUUACAAUUAAAAUAAUUUGAGCAGCAGCAGAUAAA